rnacentral:rRNA from 1 species
UACGUAGGGGGCAAGCGUUGUCCGGAUUCACUGGGCGUAAAGCGCGUGUAGGCGGCGCGUCAAGUCGGGUGUGAAAGCCCGGGGCUCAACCCCGGGAUGCCGCUCGAAACUGGCGCGCUUGAGGACGGAAGAGGGGAGUGGAAUUCCUGGUGUAGCGGUGAAAUGCGUAGAGAUCAGGAGGAACACCCGUGGCGAAGGCGGCUCCCUGGUCCGGCCCUGACGCUGAGACGCGAAAGCGCGGGGAGCGAACGGG